rnacentral:rRNA from 1 species
UACGAAGGGGGCUAGCGUUGUUCGGAAUCACUGGGCGUAAAGCGCACGCAGGCGGAUCGUUAAGUCAGGGGUGAAAUCCCGAGGCCCAACCUCGGAACUGCCUUUGAUACUGGCGAUCUUUGAGUCCGGGAGAGGUGAGUGGAACUCCGAGUGUAGAGGUGAAAUUCGUAGAUAUUCGGAAGAACACCAGUGGCGAAGGCGGCUCACUGGCCCGGUACUGACGCUCAUGUGCGAAAGCGUGGGGAGCAAACAGG